rnacentral:lncRNA from 1 species
GCGGAACUAAUGACACACUACUUUUAGAAAGACACAUAUGAGGACAGUCUUGUGCUUCAGGUGUCCAGUAGCCAAUCCUAGGCUUUCUUCGGCAGGCGUGCAGAACCACAGCCUUCGGCGCUAGGAUCCAGAAGGCAGGGCUUUGAUUUCCCAACUAAUUCCUCUGGCAAAACACGAAACGCUCAUAUGCACAACUUCCUGGUUAGAGAAGCGGACCGCGCUGAAUGUGAUCGCAGACUGACUUUUUAGAUGCGCGAGAGCGAGGCGCCGCACACAAGAGGAACUGAACGAGCGCGAGCGUCUGAAAGUGCGUCCGGUUGGGAUUAAUUUGAGAAUGCAAAGAGAAUGUAAAGGACGCCUCGGAGAGCAAGAAGUGUGUGCGGAUUGUGGGCAGUCCGAAAUGUCCCACGAAACAGGCACACGAUUUGUCGCCGGUCAUUGAAAUCGCCUCGAUCACUUGUCAUUAUUUUGGUUAGUCAAGUUAGCGUGUUUCCUUCAUUGACGCUCAAUUUGAUCCGCCGUUCCGUGUCGCUCUAAUCGCGCGUUUGGACAUGUGGAGACUGCAAGGAUCGUGUCGUGUGGGGAUGUUGUGUUUGACUUUAUCAGCCCUUCUCAUCCAACCCAUCAGCUGUCAUCCCGCUUCUCAUGUGGAAACAGAGCAUCGUGGGAGCUCAGCCACUCAAAGAGAGCGGAGGGCAUCUGGGGAACCCUAUUGGGCGUAUUCAGGCACCUACGGACCACGAAGGUGGCCCUCUGCUUAUCCAGAAUGCGGGGAAAGGAAUCAGUCUCCCGUGGAUAUCCCAGAUCAAGACACCCAGGUUUCUCAAGAGUGCCAGGAGCUGACCUUGGAUGGCUUUGAAAACAAGUCGUCAAACAGGACCACCAUGAAGAACACAGGCAAAACAGUGUCUAUUGUUCUGAAGAAUGAUUACUUUGUGAGAGGGGCCGGCCUACCUGGACGCUUCAAAGCAGAAAAAGUGGAGUUUCACUGGGGCAGCACAAAUGGAUCAGCUGGUUCUGAGCACAGUAUCAAUGGAAAGAAGUUUCCAGUAGAGAUGCAGAUUUAUUUCUACAAUUCAGAUGAUUUUGACAGUCUGAGCACCGCGAUAAAGGAGAGACGAAUCAUCGCCGCCUUGGCUGUCUUCUUUCAGGUGGCGAAGAAAGACAACAUUGCAGCUGAGCCCAUCAUCACAGGUCUCAAACGAGUAGUCCAUCACGAGAAGGAAACAAACCUUGGUCCAUUCAUACUGAGGGAUCUGCUGCCAUCAUCUUUGGAAAGUUAUUACCGCUACACCGGCUCGCUCACGACACCUCCCUGCAGUAAAGUCGUGGAGUGGAUCAUCUUCAGUCGACCUGUUUACCUCUCCUACCACCAGCUGGAGGCGUUCUACUCCAUCUUCACCACAGAGCAGCAGGAUCAUGUGAAGUCCGUGGAUUACCUGAGGAAUAACCAUCGGCCCACUCAGGAUCUCGACAGCCGGCAGAUCUUCAAAUCGGCUCUGAUGGAUGCUUGGAUGCCCGACCUCAUGACAGACAGCAUGGCCAGCGCUGCAGACUCAGAAACUUCUCGAGGUAUGAUGGCUUCCUUCCCAAAUCAGUGGAGCAAAAAAGUAUUUAGUCAGCCACCAAUUGUGCAAGUUCUCCCACUUAAAAAGAUGAGAGAGGCCUGUAAUUUUCAUCAUAGGGCGGUCAUCACACUCGUGUCUCCAGAUGUCCUGUAUCUGUUCAGAGUGCAAGCUGUAUGUCAGAGAGACCAGCGCAGUGACUUCAGCCAAACACUUUUAUUCAAAGCAAACACCACAAGGAUAUUUGAGGGCACAAGGAUUGUGAAAACUGGAAUGCCCACAGUUUCCCCCGCCUCUUCGGCAGACAUGGCCCCUAUAAGCUCAGGCUCCUCUACCUGGACGUCCGCCGGCCUCCCCUUUUCCUUCGUCUCCAUGGCAACGGGAAUGGGGCCUCCAUCCAGUGGAGGACAAGCCACUGUAGCAUCUGUGGUGACCAGCACUCUGUUGGCAGGACUGGGUUUCAGUGGCAGUGUGAUUUCUUCCCUGCCAGGAUCAUUUUGGCCAACCCACUCUACAAACUCAGGCCCCACACCCACUCAACAUCCAGCCACUCCCACUGCCGAAAGCACUCCAUCUGACAGCAACAUCCUGACCUCUGAGGACAGCAUUGAAGCAAAUAACAAACAGGAAGAUGACCCAUCCAGCCGGAUGGAGUGGAUCAUCCCCCUGAUGGUGGUCUCUGCCCUCACGCUGCUCUGUCUGAUCAUGCUGCUGGCUGUCCUGGUCUACUGGAGAUCCGUCUGGUCAUGGUUGUGGCUGGGUUGCUUCCUCAAAAUUAAGGAGCUGUCUAAAAUCAUCCUGAUUAACCUGCAUUCUACUAACCGGGGGACCGUUUCUGUUCUUAGGAGAUUCUUCCAGACUGCACAUUUGUAUAUUGAAGACAGGAACUCCCCCAGAGUGAUCCACAAUGACAGUUUCCCCAUCCUGUCUACAGCGGAUGACCUGGAGGCUGUUUCAGUCAGGCAGUUCAUCAAACACAUCAUGGAGCAGUACUCCAACAACCAACAUGGCUUUUCUCAGGAGUUCGAUGAGGUUCAACACUGCACAUCUGAAAUGAAGAUUACAGCAGAACGUUCAAACCAACCAGACAACAAGCACAAAAACAGAUACAUCAACAUUGUUGCCUAUGACCACAGCAGAGUGAAGUUGCAGCAACUGUCUGGGAAAGACUCCAAGCACAGUGAUUACAUCAAUGCCAACUAUGUAGACGGUUAUAAAAGACCCAGGGCUUAUAUAGCAGCUCAGGGCCCUCUGAAGUCCACAUUUGAGGACUUUUGGAGAAUGAUUUGGGAACAGAACACCACUGUGAUUGUCAUGAUCACCAACUUGGUGGAGAAAGGCAGGAGAAAAUGCGAUCAGUAUUGGCCAUCAGAGAACAGCGAGGUUUAUGGGAACAUAAUGGUGACUCUGAAGAGCACUAAAGUUUAUGCUUACUACACACUCCGCCAUUUCAUCAUGCGCAACACCAAACUGAAAAAGGGUCAGAAGGGAAGGCAUAACGAACGGCUGGUUGUCCAGUACCAUUACACACAGUGGCCAGACAUGGGCGUACCCGAGUAUACACUACCAGUCCUCAAAUUCAUCUCUCGAUCUUCAGCAGCCCGUACGCCAGGCACAGGCCCUGUUCUAGUUCACUGCAGUGCUGGAGUUGGCAGAACAGGCACAUACAUAGUCAUAGACAGCAUGCUGCAGCAGAUAAAGGACAACGGCACUGUCAACGUCCUAGGAUACCUCAAGCACAUCCGAGCUCAGCGCAACUACUUGGUCCAGACUGAGGAGCAGUUUAUCUUUAUCCAUGAUGCAUUAAUGGAAGCUGUGCUUGGCAAAGACACCGAGGUGCCUGUCUGGCAACUCCAUAGUUAUGUCAACAGCAUUCUCACCUCGAGCCCCACAGGACAAACACGCAUGGACAAACAAUUUAAGUUGUUGACGCAAUGCAAUUCUCACCUCACUGAGUGUUUCAGUGCCCAGAAAGACUGCAACAAAGAGAAGAACCGCACCUCGUCGGUCUUGCCAAUGGAACGGGCUCGGGUGGCACUAGCUCCCCUCCCAGGAGUAAAAGGAACCGACUACAUCAAUGCCGCCUACAUUAUGGGCUAUUACAGGAGCAACGAGUUCAUCAUUACCCAGCAUCCUCUGCCCCACACAACCACAGACUUCUGGAGGAUGAUCUGGGAUCAUAAUGCUCAAGUUAUUGUGAUGUUGCCAGACAACCUCGGCCUUACUGAGGAUGAAUUUGUGUACUGGCCCAGCAGAGAGGAGCCCAUGAACUGCGUAGCUUUCACUGUCACCCUCAUUAAUACUGACAGACUCUGCUUAUCUAAUGAGGAGCAACUCAUCAUCCACGACUUCAUCCUAGAAGCCACACAGGAUGACUAUGUGCUAGAAGUCCGACAUUUUCAAUGUCCAAACUGGCCAGAUCCUGAUGCAUCCAUCAGCAGCACAUUUGAGCUCAUCAACAUCAUCAAAGAAGAGGCUAUGGCAAGGGAUGGUCCCACCAUCGUGCAUGAUGAGUUUGGCGCCAUCUCUGCCGGGAUGUUCUGUGCUCUGACCACACUUUCCCAACAACUGGAGAACGAGAGUGCUGUGGAUGUCUAUCAAGUGGCCAAAAUGAUUAACCUCAUGAGGCCUGGCGUCUUCACUGAAAUUGAGCACUAUCACAACCUUUACAAGGCUAUGCUCAGCCUUGUCAGCAGUAAAGACUUCAGACUUGGCUUCAACUACAUGGACAAAAUUGCUGGGAUAGUGGUAACAGAUGAAUCCAACCAGGCUGAGAGCAUGGAGUCCUUGGUGUGAAGUUUUCGGGAAAAUGAGAUGGAACAAAGUGGUUCCUUGAACUUUCCAUGAGGCCUUUUUUCCCAGACUCUUGGUGAAAUAAAAAAGAAAAAAACAACA